AUUGAACGCUGGCGACAGGCCUAACACAUGCAAGUCGAGCGGAUGAAGGGAGCUUGCUCCUGGAUUCAGCGGCGGACGGGUGAGUAAUGCCUAGGAAUCUGCCUGGUAGUGGGGGCUAACGUCCGGAAACGGGCGCUAAUACCGCAUACGUCCUGAGGGAGAAAGUGGGGGAUCUUCGGACCUCACGCUAUCAGAUGAGCCUAGGUCGGAUUAGCUAGUUGGUGGGGUAAAGGCCUACCAAGGCGACGAUCCGUAACUGGUCUGAGAGGAUGAUCAGUCACACUGGAACUGAGACACGGUCCAGACUCCUACGGGAGGCAGCAGUGGGGAAUAUUGGACAAUGGGCGAAAGCCUGAUCCAGCCAUGCCGCGUGUGUGAAGAAGGUCUUCGGAUUGUAAAGCACUUUAAGUUGGGAGGAAGGGCAGUAAGUUAAUACCUUGCUGUUUUGACGUUACCAACAGAAUAAGCACCGGCUAACUUCGUG
rnacentral:rRNA from 1 species